CUUUGGAUUUGGGAGCAUUUAUAGGUCGGAUGGUCAGAUCAAAUGCUUCCUAGGAUAGGAGCCCACCAGCCGGUAGCCGGAGGUGAUGUAGCAAGACAUGUCCGAUUAGAUAUGAAUGAUGCUAGUUUUGAGGAUCUAUUUGGUAGUGUACAGCAUGACCAGGCUGAUCCACUGGGAUGUAGGUAUUGUUGAAAAAUAGAUAGUUC
rnacentral:lncRNA from 1 species